rnacentral:rRNA from 1 species
GACGAACGCUGGCGGCGUGCUUAACACAUGCAAGUCGAACGGUGACCCAGGGCUUGCCCUGGUGAUCAGUGGCGAACGGGUGAGUAACACGUGGGCAACCUGCCCCUGACUUCGGGAUAACUCCUCGAAAGAGGAGCUAAUACCGGAUACGACCACUUCGGACAUCCGAUGGUGGUGGAAAGUUUUUCGGUCAGGGAUGGGCCCGCGGCCUAUCAGCUAGUUGGUGGGGUAAUGGCCUACCAAGGCGACGACGGGUAGCCGGCCUGAGAGGGCGACCGGGCCACACUGGGACUGAGACACGGGCCCAGACUCCUACGGGAGGCAGCAGUGGGGAAUAUUGCGCAAUGGGCGAAAGCCUGACGCAGCGACGCCGCGUGAGGGAUGAAGGCC